GAUGAACGCUGGCGGCGUGCCUAAUACAUGCAAGUCGAGCGAACGGACGAGAAGCUUGCUUUUCUGAUGUUAGCGGCGGACGGGUGAGUAACACGUGGAUAACCUACCUAUAAGACUGGGAUAACUUCGGGAAACCGGAGCUAAUACCGGAUAAUAUUUUGAACCGCAUGGUUCAAAAGUGAAAGACGGUCUUGCUGUCACUUAUAGAUGGAUCCGCGCUGCAUUAGCUAGUUGGUAAGGUAACGGCUUACCAAGGCAACGAUGCAUAGCCGACCUGAGAGGGUGAUCGGCCACACUGGAACUGAGACACGGUCCAGACUCCUACGGGAGGCAGCAGUAGGGAAUCUUGCGCAAUGGGCGAAAGCCUGACGGAGCAACGCCGCGUGAGUGAUGAAGGUCUUCGGAUCGUAAACCUCUGUUAUUAGGGAAGAACAUAUGUGUAAGUAACUGUGCACAUCUUGACGGUACCUAAUCAGAAAGCCACGGCUAACUACGUG
rnacentral:rRNA from 1 species